rnacentral:rRNA from 1 species
CACGUAGGGGGCAAGCGUUGUCCGGAUUUAUUGGGCGUAAAGAGCUCGUAGGUGGUUCGGUAAGUCGGGUGUUAAACCCCCAGGCUCAACCUGGGGACGCCACUCGAUACUGCUGUGACUCGAGUCCGGUAGGGGAGCGUGGAAUUCCUGGUGUAGCGGUGAAAUGCGCAGAUAUCAGGAGGAACACCAGCGGCGAAGGCGGCGCUCUGGGCCGGUACUGACACUGAGGAGCGAAAGCGUGGGUAGCAAACAGG